rnacentral:rRNA from 1 species
AUUGAACGCUGGCGGCAGGCCUAACACAUGCAAGUCGAACGAGUGGCGGACGGGUGAGUAAUGUCUGGGAAACUGCCUGAUGGAGGGGGAUAAAUAAUGGAAACGGUAGCUAAUACCGCAUAGCCUCGGAUGUGCCCAGAGGGGAUUAGCUAGUAGGUGGGAGAAUGGCUAACCUAGGCGCCGAUCCCUAGCUGGUCUGAGCGGAUGACCAGCCACACGGGAAUUGAGACACGGUCCAGACUCCUACGGGAGGCAGCAGUGGGGAAUAUUGCACAAUGGGCGCAAGCCUGAUGCAGCCAUGCCGCGUGUAUGAAGAAGGUCUUCGGAUUGUAAAGCACUUUAAGUUGGGAGGCGUUACCAACAGAAUAAGCACCGGCUAACUUCGUGCCAGCAGCCGCGGUAAUAC